CCACGGUGUGGUUCAUGACUGGGGUGAAGUCGUAACAAGGUAGCCGUAGGGGAACCUGCGGCUGGAUCACCUCCUU
rnacentral:rRNA from 1 species